UAAAACCAUACUCAUAUAGCCAUCUAGUCUUUUAUAAAGCACACAAAAAUAUACAUAAAUAUAUUCAAACUAAUUUCUUGCAUGUUGGUCUCCUGCAAAGUUUCAUGGAAACUUCCAAUAAACAAGUGCUUGAGGCAAAUCAUGUGUGUAGAUUGCUGCAAUGGUGAAUAAGUUACCUCCCCACCAUAUCAUAUUAGCUAUAGUAGUACAGAUGGAUGCUAGUCCAUGAUUAAGUCAGGAGAGGAGGUGGUACCCCCCAAACCAAGACAGCUGAGGUGGUAGGUCAUGCCACCAGCCAAAAUGCCAAAUAGCUGCACCCACAAAUGUUGGACCCCUGAUCUUGGCAAGGAGGAGAUUGCUGCUUCAAAAUGGUACAUCUUAAAACCACACAGGAUAUGAGCUGUGGUCUCUCAUCCAAGUUUGAUGACCAUCCUGGUUAAAGUACAGUGGAUAACAGCAAACCCCAUACUUGCUACUAUUACUUCAUGAAUAUUAUCUGAUAAAUUCUUUGCUGUGUAGAAUUGGUAUGUGUGAGGUCUAGUUAUUUGCCUUUUUAAAUGAAAAUAUAAAAAUAUAAAAUAUAAUAAAAAUGUGAUAUAUUUAUAUAUACCUAUAUUGAUUUAUCAAGAACUUACUAUUCAUUAAUCUUUCAAUAAAUACUUUUUGAGGCUAACUGUGUGCCAUAAACUACGUACAACACAUACACAGCAUUGGGAAACAGGCAGAAAGCAAGAAUGGGGUUUGGGAUUAGGAUGUCUAGGUAUGUCUAGGUUAGAGUCCCAGUGUGGGUAGUAACUGGUGGUAUAACUUGAGCAAGUUACACUCUCUAACUUACAUUUUUUUGUUCCAUAGAAUGAAUUUGUUUGCAAGGUUGUCAUGGGGAUUAAUGAAUACGUAUGACUAGUACCUAAUAUGUUAUUAAUAUGACAACUAGAGUAUUCCACUUUGGUCAAUUUUUCACCACACUUUUCCUUUAUAAAGAAUCCUAGUAAUCAAGACAUAUAAAUGAAUCCUUCAUUUCAAAAACACAAAUGAUUAAGCAAAAAAUUGUGAGAAUAUUAGAUCCAGAUUAAAAAAAAAAACUCUUUACUAACCAUGGGGGGAGGGGUGCCUCUUACUGAAAUAGUCUAUUGAAGCACAGAUACAUAAAACUAAAAUGGUAUUUACAAAUAGCCUCUUCUAAAUUCACACUAAUAAUUAUUAAUUAUUAGGCCAUUUGUUUCAGUGGGAAAAAUAUCAAAUCUCAGUGACUUAAAAAGCAUACAAAAUAAAAAGCUUCUCAAGAAACCUCUUCACACACAAUUUCAUAGAACACAUCUAAAUAAGUCAGUUGUGUGGGUGGGUUGCUAGGGAAUGCUAUAGUUUAAUGUACUUAUGUGAUAGCUUUGAAAGCAUGAAUCCAUGUAGAAAUUAAAUUAUAAGAAUUAGGUGGUCAAAUCCAGCCACAAGCAUACAUUUUUUUAGUUUUUUUAAAUUUUGUUUGUAUAAUUAUGUUUAUAUGUGUUCAUAAGAGUUGCCAUUGUUAACACAUCCUAUUGAUAUCAUCUAUUUAAUCCCUCUUCAAGUUCAUUUUUCUUUUUCAUUUCAUCUCUUUUGGGGCAAAUGUAUAAGAUUUCAAAGAAGAAAAAGAUUAAUGCAGGAGAAUAGCAAUGAUAAUGAUUACAAUGAUAAGACAGUAUUAGUAUUGGAAUGACCUUUGCUUACAACUUUUGUGCCAAGCAAAGCCUAAUUUGUUAAGGAGUCUAGAUGGAGUGAACAGUUAUCUACCUGGUAUGGUGUAAGACUAUCAGGGAAACUUCUUUGUUCCUUACACACUCCCUUUUUCAUUGACUACAUUUUGCAAAAUCCUAAAGUAAAAGAUUGUUCUGUUUAAUUAAAGGCUUAAAAUGACAGUUCUCCUGGGAGGGCUUACUGUGAGCAACUGUCAAUCCCUUUUAUGUAAAAAAAUUUCUGAAAAGUUAAUAAGAAAAGGAAUUUAGAGGGGGCAUUGGCAAGGAGAGUCUCUCAAGUUAGUGCAUAAUAGAAUACGAUGGUGAGGGCAGCCAUUCAGUAGGAAAGUGUAGAUGAUAUCAUUAAGGACACAUUGCCUUUUCACAGUUUUCACUAUGCCCAGUGCUGCUCUACCCUAUGACUUACCAAGUGGCAGUGCUUAUUCUAUUUUUAAGUUUACUCUAUAUAUAGGUUCAACAUCUGGAUAAUCAUUGAAAAUUUCAAUCAGGGUCUCAAUAUAUUUGGGCAUUUAGAAAUAAAUGGUAAUCAACUAUUGUUCUUUUAACCUUCUUUCUAGAUGGAAAGAAUCAUAAUCUCAAAUGAUAUUCCAAAAUCACCCUGAGCAUUUUAACUUAAUCUAUUUGAGAAAAGAAUAAACCUGGAAAUGAUAAAAUGAAUAACUUUUCCUUUAAACUGAAUAUCAUGGAUAAAACUGUGGAGUUAUCUUGUUUGGCUAAGAUUACAUAUAAUUUUGGUACUACUGUGUACCCCAGGGGAAUAUGAAGGCAGCAUAUGAAUUUGUUUAUAUUCUAUUGCUUUUCAUUCAAUGAAGUCAAUAGGUAAAAAAGUAGUGUGAGAGAGAUAUUGUAUACAUUGUGCUAAACAAUUUGUUGUAUUUUCUUACUUGGUCUUUCUUAUUUAGGCUGCCUCUAUUUUUUUAAAGGCAUGAUAUGAGUGUGUUAAUCAUUUGCUUGGAUGAAAUAAAAUCCGCUAACAAUUACCUAGGCAAAACCUGGAGCAAUCUUGGUGUAUCUUAUGAAACCCAAGGACAAGAAGUACAGCUAAGGCCCUGCAAGAAACUAAAACUAAGAGCAACCAAACCAAGGCAAUCAAGACAGCCCAGAAACCAAGGCAACCAACUUACCGGCAUCCCUCCUUCUUUUUGAGUCCACAAACUUCACAGAGCUCUAUUUACAUCAGAAGGGACAUCAAGUACCUCAACACUCACUAAAAAUGAAAUCCUACAGCUCAGCCUGUCAACCAGCACGGAAAGUGUGUAGCUGCUGCCUUUCUUUGUUUGGCAGUAGCUAUGGUCAAUAGCAGCUUCUUAGCUGUCAUCUGCCGGCUUUGGCUAUUGAAGACCAUCUAACCUCUCUGGUUGACAAAGCCCAGUGACGGGCCUAACGGACUAACUAGGAUCAGGCUCCUUCACCUGCAACAGCCAAGUGUAAGUAGACAGAGCAUUGCAGCUCCCAUAUGGAUGGUGAAUAGUUUCUAGGAAAGGCUGCUGGAAAAACAGUCACAUAACAAUUGUAUCAAUCCAAGUUUACGGAUGAGAAAGUGGAGACUCAGAGAUAUCAGGCAAUUUAUGUAAGACAUGAUCUCAUGCAAUUGAUAGGUCAAGAACUUCAGUCCAGGCAUCUCAUACCAUGUCUUUUUUGUCUUUCCCCAGAGGGCUCUCUUUUUUAAGCAGUUUUUAGAUAAGUACCCUUAAUAUAAUCUUUCAAUUACACUUUUCUGUGAGUGUUCAAUUUAUGAAUAUUUUGGCACCCAUAAUUUAGAACAAGGAAAUUGCAUAAUAUAAAACAAGGAAAACCAAGGAAAAGCAAUCCACAUAUUCUGCUUAAUGUUAUUAAUGUAUACUUCAGUUAAGUCCCAUUAGUUAUUCUGGACAUCUCUGCUGUAAUCUAAAACCCCUCUAUAUUUUUCACUUGGAGAUCUGUUAGACAGGAUUCACUAAUCUUAUACUUAAAAAGAUAAAUCUCUUUGAUAUUUCAUGUUUUAUGUUUUGAUCCACUUUUUCUUUAAGGUUCUCAAAAUUUCUGAAAGCCUUAUUUUGUCAGUCACUGUAUGUUACUACCAUAUUUUGAACACAAACAUCUGUAUACAUGAUCUGGGAAAG